rnacentral:rRNA from 1 species
CGCUGGCGGCAGGCUUAACACAUGCAAGUCGAACGGUCUCUUCGGAGGCAGUGGCAGACGGGUGAGUAAUGCAUGGGAAUCUACCAUUCUCUACGGAAUAACUCAGGGAAACUUGUGCUAAUACCGUAUACGCCCUUUUGGGGAAAGAUUUAUCGGAGAGUGAUGAGCCCAUGUUGGAUUAGCUAGUUGGUGGGGUAAAGGCCUACCAAGGCGACGAUCCAUAGCUGGUCUGAGAGGAUGAUCAGCCACACUGGGACUGAGACACGGCCCAGACUCCUACGGGAGGCAGCAGUGGGGAAUAUUGGACAAUGGGCGCAAGCCUGAUCCAGCCAUGCCGCGUGAGUGAUGAAGGUCUUAGGAUUGUAAAGCUCUUUCACCGGUGAAGAUAAUGACGGUAACCGGAGAAGAAGCCCCGGCUAACUUCGUGCCAGCAGCCGCGGUAAUACGAAGGGGGCUAGCGUUGUUCGGAUUUACUGGGCGUAAAGCGCACGUAGGCGGACUUUUAAGUCAGGGGUGAAAUCCCAGAGCUCAACUCUGGAACUGCCUUUGAUACUGGAAGUCUUGAGUAUGGAAGAGGUGAGUGGAAUUCCGAGUGUAGAGGUGAAAUUCGUAGAUAUUCGGA